rnacentral:rRNA from 1 species
UACGUAGGUGGCGAGCGUUGUCCGGAUUUAUUGGGCGUAAAGCGCGCGCAGGUGGUGCGGUAAGUCUGUCGUGAAAUCUCCCGGCUCAACUGGGAGGGUGCGGUGGAGACUGCCGGACUGGAGGCACUCAGAGGCCGGUGGAAUUCCCGGUGUAGUGGUGAAAUGCGUAGAGAUCGGGAGGAACACCAGUGGCGAAGGCGGAUCUCUGGACAGUUCCUGACGCUGAGGCGCGAAGGCCAGGGGAGCAAACGGG